rnacentral:rRNA from 1 species
CCCCCUUGUCAAAGUCUGAUCUCUUCUGAUCUCAGAAGUUAAGCAAGGCCCGGUGUGGUUAGUACUUGGAUGGAAGAUUGCUGGGAAUACCCAG